CCUACGGGUGGCUGCAGUGGGGAAUAUUGGACAAUGGGGGCAACCCUGAUCCAGCCAUGCCGCGUGUGUGAAGAAGGCCCUCGGGUUGUAAAGCACUUUCAGUGAGGAAGAACGCCUGGUGGUUAAUACCCAUCAGGAAAGACAUCACUCACAGAAGAAGCACCGGCUAACUCCGUGCCAGCAGCCGCGGUAAUACGGAGGGUGCGAGCGUUAAUCGGAAUUACUGGGCGUAAAGCGCGCGUAGGUGGCUUGAUAAGCCGGUUGUGAAAGCCCCGGGCUCAACCUGGGAACGGCAUCCGGAACUGUCAAGCUAGAGUGCAGGAGAGGAAGGUAGAAUUCCCGGUGUAGCGGUGAAAUGCGUAGAGAUCGGGAGGAAUACCAGUGGCGAAGGCGGCCUUCUGGACUGACACUGACACUGAGGUGCGAAAGCGUGGGUAGCAAACAGGAUUAGAUAGCCUGGUAGUC
rnacentral:rRNA from 1 species